GCCGCAGAGCUGGGGCGCGGAGCGUGCGGAGUCGAGUCCACAGGGCCGGCUUCAGAGGCGCCAGCACCGCCCGGCACAGGGCCGCCUCCACCGCGGGGCCUGCAGGGGUUGAGAACUCCAGCUUUAUUCGGGGCAUUAAUAGGCCCAGCCAUAGAAGAUGGAUAAUGAUUCAUGUAGGCAGUGGUUCUCACCUCUGUAUAACUCCCAGGCUCCGGACGCGCAGGCUCAGCCGCCAUGGCUCACGGGCCCAGCCGCUCCACGGCAUGUGGGAUCUUCCCGGACUGGGGCACGAACCCGUGUCCCCUGCAUCGGCAGGCGGAUUCUCAACCACUGUGCCAUCAGGGAAGCCCCCAGUAAAAGAAAAAAAUGCAACUGGUGCCUCCUUUCUUCCUUCCUCCUGCCUGGAAUGCAACAUGUGCUUGGGUCUGGGGCAGCCACUGGAUGACCAUGAGGGAAGUCCAGGAGAAUCGCAGAGAAGAUGGCCUUGAUGUCACCCGAGGAGAAGAACUGGAGCCUGCAGCUACCUUUCUGGUUAUGUUAGAAAGAUAAAUGCCUAUUUAUCUAAGCUAUUAUAGAACAAGUGUUUACUUGCAUCCCCAAAUAUUUAGAAUUCCCUGCAGUUUAAAGCAAAGCCAAGGGAACUCCCUGGCGGUCCAAUGGUUAGGAUUCUGCGCUUUCACUGCUGAGGGCCCAGGUUCAACCCCUGGUCAGGGAACUAAGACCCUACAAACCCUGUGGCAAAACAAAAACAAACAAACAAAAAAAGGGAAAAACGGAAAAACAGAAAAACAGAAAACAAAGCCAAGAAGUGGAAUGAAGAGAAAUGUAUACGUUGUCUGAUGUUCAGGAUCCAGACAUUACUGAAAUUACUUUUACUUCUGGGCUUUUCAGUCAUUUGAAUCAAUAAGUAGCCUUUCAGUUUGCCUGGUCUGUGUUGUCUGUCACUAGCAACCAGCAGGGUCCGAACUGAUUC